UCCAAUCAAGCCUGGCUUGGUAUUGGGCGUCGGGAGCUCCCCGCGCCCUAAUUUCACCGGCUGGCCGUCGCCCGUCUUAGCGUUGUGACACACUUCUCGCUAGCGAUGGGUCCGGUUCAUGCCGUCACAAUCUCACGAAUUUCAAUCGAAAUUCGAUCAAGGUUGACCUCGGAUCGGGUAGGAAUACCCGCUGAACUUAA
rnacentral:misc_RNA from 1 species